rnacentral:rRNA from 1 species
AUUGAACGCUGGCGGCAGGCCUAACACAUGCAAGUCGAGCGAGCGGCGGACGGGUGAGUAAUGUCUGGGGACUGCCCGAUCGAGGGGGAUAACUCCUGGAAACGGUGGCUAAUACCGCAUACUAUCGGAUAACCCAUAUGGGAUUAGCUAGUAGGUGGGGUAAAGGCUCACCAAGGCGACGAUCGCUAGCUGGUCUGUGAGGAUGAUCAGCCACACUGGGACUGAGACACGGCCCAGACUCCUUCGGAGGCAGCAGUGGGGAAUAUGGCACAAUGGGCGCAAGCCGUAUGCAGCCAUGCCGCGUGUAUGAAGAAGGCCUUAGGGUUGUAAAGUACUUUCAGCGGGGAGGCGUUACCCGCAGAAGAAGCACCGGCUAACUCCGUGCCAGCCGCCGCGGUAAUAC